rnacentral:lncRNA from 1 species
UACGGUGUAUGAGUCACAAACGAUUGAAGCCUACCACGGUGGAAGGCCACGAAAGAGUGUUCAAAGCACUCUCACGCUUAUCAACUCAAUAAUGGUUUGGUUGAGGGUUUUAGGUCUCAUCACAUAUAAAUAUACAUUUUAAUCUAUAUUAAAACAAUUUUGGUCCUAUUACAACUAUUGGUCCAUUUGAUUGUUUUAGUUGUAUAUAAUACUC